rnacentral:rRNA from 1 species
AACGAACGCUGGCGGCAUGCCUAACACAUGCAAGUCGAACGGGAUCCGGACUUCGGUUCGGUGAGAGUGGCGGACGGGUGAGUAACGCGUGGGAACCUGCCCAGUGGUGGGGGAUAACUGCGGGAAACUGCAGCUAAUACCGCAUGAGCCCGAGAGGGGAAAGAUUUAUCGCCAUUGGAGGGGCCCGCGUUCGAUUAGGUAGUUGGUGAGGUAACGGCUCACCAAGCCGACGAUCGAUAGCUGGUCUGAGAGGAUGAUCAGCCACACUGGGACUGAGAUACGGCCCGGACUCCUACGGGAGGCAGCAGUGGGGAAUAUUGGACAAUGGGGGCAACCCUGAUCCAGCAAUGCCGCGUGAGUGAUGAAGGCCUUCGGGUUGUAAAGCUCUUUCACCCACGACGAUGAUGACGGUAGUGGGAGAAGAAGCCCCGGCUAACUUCGUGCCAGCAGCCGCAGUAAAAC